UCUCAUUUCCUCCUAUUACACGUCGGUCCCCAAAGCAAACAAAGGAAGAAAUUUCCGUAAGCUUUCUUCCUGCGUACGAGAGGCUCUCGGUUUCCACUAACCCGUGCGAUUCCUCUCAUUCCUUCAAGCCGAUCCCUUUCAGUUGUGAACCCAAGCUUUCCAUCGAAGAUCCUCAAGGGAAUCGACCCCAAAUUUCUGUUGUGUUCCAGCCCCAAAUAUUUCGGAUUCUCUUCCUCUUCUCGUUGCGUGUGUUUCCAUGGCUUCUAAAAGGACCCAAACAGGUAUGAACGAUGAGGCUGUGGAGCCAGGUGCUGCUGACGAGGGAAGGACUAAGGUUUAGAGUUCCCGGUUGGUUUGAGUUGGAGGACAAUGAUUAUUUUCUUUAUGUUUUUAUUAUGGGUCCCAUGUUGGGACGUUCUGUUGGUUUGACUUUAAAACAAUAUGCCUUUGGGCAAGGGUGUAAGUACUAUGGUGGGAUGAUAGUAACGGUGUAUUUUUUAUGGUGGGGUGAUGGUAACCCCACAUAGGAAGGUUAAAUGCCUUUUUGUAUGUGUUAUGGGGACUGAGUCCCCUCUUAAUUAGAACUAGUAUGUUU